GUCCACGCCCUAAACGAUGUCAACUAGGUGUUGGGGAAGGAGACUUCUUUAGUACCGCAGCUAACGCGUGAAGUUGACCGCCUGGGGAGUACGGUCCAAGAUUAAAACUCAAAGGAAUUGACGGGGACCCGCACAAGCGGUGGAUUAUGUGGAUUAAUUCGAUGCAACGCGAAAAACCUUACCUACCCUUGACAUGUCAGAAAGAUCGCAGAGAUGUGAUUGUGCCCGAAAGGGAAUCUGAACACAGGUGCUGCAUGGCUGUCGU
rnacentral:rRNA from 1 species